GUACUGGUGACGAGUCCCAAACUAGGACGAAACAGCUGUUGAGUAC
rnacentral:hammerhead_ribozyme from 1 species